rfam:Brugia malayi, FR3, WGS project CAPY01000000 data, contig: ctg1512014m
GUGGCAUAUAGGAACCAUGUGUGAUGUGUAUGCCACAUGUGGGCCGAUAAAAUGCCAAAAUGAAAUCAUUGUAUAAAGGUCGCAGGUAGAGGGUCAGAAGUCCUCUUCAGGCAUUACCCAAGCAGUGUACAGUC